rnacentral:lncRNA from 1 species
AAAAAUCCAUUUAUCCAUUAUCCAUCCAUAAGUAAAAAAAUUAGUUAAUGGAUCGGAUCAAAUCCAUCCAUUUAGUUAAUGGAGUGGAUUGGAUCCAUCCACCUUAAUUUUAAAAUCCAAUGGAUUGUUUUUUUUUUAUUUUUUUAUUAUUUAAAAAAUGAUUAAAUUUUAAAACUAAUUUAUUUGUUUAAAAUAAAAUACUGAUUUUAAUUAUUAAAAAAAUCAUAA